AUUGAACGCUGGCGGCAGGCCUAACACAUGCAAGUCGAACGGUAACAGGAAGCAGCUUGCUGCUUUGCUGACGAGUGGCGGACGGGUGAGUAAUGUCUGGGAAACUGCCCGAUGGAGGGGGAUAACUACUGGAAACGGUAGCUAAUACCGCAUAACGUCGCAAGACCAAAGAGGGGGACCUUAGGGCCUCUUGCCAUCGGAUGUGCCCAGAUGGGAUUAGCUAGUAGGUGGGGUAACGGCUCACCUAGGCGACGAUCCCUAGCUGGUCUGAGAGGAUGACCAGCCACACUGGAACUGAGACACGGUCCAGACUCCUACGGGAGGCAGCAGUGGGGAAUAUUGCACAAUGGGCGCAAGCCUGAUGCAGCCAAGCCGCGUGUAUGAAGAAGGCCUUCGGGUUGUAAAGUACUUUCAGCGGGGAGGAAGGGAGUAAAGUUAAUACCUUUGCUCAUUGACGUUACCCGCAGAAGAAGCACCGGCUAACUCCGUG
rnacentral:rRNA from 1 species